rnacentral:rRNA from 1 species
UACGUAGGGUGCGAGCGUUGUCCGGAAUUAUUGGGCGUAAAGAGCUUGUAGGCGGUUUGUCGCGUCUGCCGUGAAAAUUCGAGGCUCAACCUCGAACUUGCGGUGGGUACGGGCAGACUAGAGUGUGGUAGGGGAGACUGGAAUUCCUGGUGUAGCGGUGAAAUGCGCAGAUAUCAGGAGGAACAGCCGAUGGCGAAGGCAGGUCUCUGGGCCACUACUGACGCUGAGAAGCGAAAGCAUGGGGAGCGAACAGG